GACGAACGCUGGCGGCGUGCUUAACACAUGCAAGUCGAACGGAAAGGCCCUGCUUUUGUGGGGUGCUCGAGUGGCGAACGGGUGAGUAACACGUGAGUAACCUGCCCUUGACUUUGGGAUAACUUCAGGAAACUGGGGCUAAUACCGGAUAGGAGCUCCUGCUGCAUGGGGGGGGUUGGAAAGUUUCGGCGGUUGGGGAUGGACUCGCGGCUUAUCAGCUUGUUGGGGGGGUAGUGGCUUACCAAGGCUUUGACGGGUAGCCGGCCUGAGAGGGUGACCGGCCACAUUGGGACUGAGAUACGGCCCAGACUCCUACGGGAGGCAGCAGUGGGGAAUAUUGCACAAUGGGCGGAAGCCUGAUGCAGCAACGCCGCGUGCGGGAUGAUGGCCUUCGGGUUGUAAACCGCUUUCGCCUGUGACGAAGCGUGAGUGACGGUAAUGGGUAAAGAAGCACCGGCUAACUACGUG
rnacentral:rRNA from 1 species